rnacentral:miRNA from 1 species
UCACCUGGGAAUACUAUUAAAAAGGCGAAUUUUCAGUAGGUUUGAGAUUCUGCAUUUCUAACAAGUUCCCAGGUGAUAACGA